CCUACGGGAGGCAGCAGUGGGGAAUAUUGGGCAAUGGAGGAAACUCUGACCCAGCAACGCCGCGUGAAUGAUGAAGGUCUUCGGAUUGUAAAGUUCUUUUCUAAGGGAAGAAGAAAGUGACGGUACCUUAGGAAUAAGCCUCGGCUAACUACGUGCCAGCAGCCGCGGUAAUACGUAGGAGGCAAGCGUUAUCCGGAAUGACUGGGCGUAAAGGGUGCGUAGGUGGUUCAGCAAGUUAGUAGCGUAAUUCCGGAGCUCAACUUCGGCACUACUACUAAAACUGUUGGACUUGAGUGCAGGAGGGGCAACUGGAAUUUCUAGUGUAGCGGUGAAAUGCUUAGAUAUGACGAAGAACCCCGAUUGCGAAGGCAGCUUGCUGCAGCGGAACUGACGCUGAUGCUCGAAAGCGCGGGUAUCGAACAGGAUUAGAUACCCGGGUAGUC
rnacentral:rRNA from 1 species